AAGGCAGAUCGGCCGCGGGUGGCGCGGCUUCGAGUCGAGGACGGCAGCGGUGGCGGCUUCAGGCAGAUCGGCCGCGGGUGAUCAGGUAUUGUGUAUUCAUGAUUCAGAUUAAAGUAUGUGUAUGUAUGGUUAUCAGGUAUUGUGGAUUCAUGGCUUCCAAUAAACGCAAGCGUUUAUUGUUAAUUACCCCUACAAAGUGUUAGGGCACCUUCGAUUAAGAGACCUCUGAAAUGUUGAAGAUAAACUGGAAUUGGACAAAAAGAAAUUUAUAAUUUAUUGCUCAAUUACAUGGCUUUAACUAAGGGCAUACCCUCAGUGUACAUGAAUAGAGCGUAAAGAGAAUGUAUUUUUCAAUUGUAUCUUAGUUAUAUAUUCUAAGAUACCCAAUAUAUGGUCAAAUUAAUUUUGUUGGACUCUAUAUGUUGUGGAGCUCAACGCUAUUCACCCUAAGAUGAAAGAUUGAUUAAAUUCCAUAUAUAUAUACAUUGGAAUUUAAUCAGAUUUAAUUCAGAUUAAACUCUAAUUAUAUGUAUUAGAGUUUGAUUUGGUUAAUUGAACUUUAAAUGUAUGUGAUAAAGUCCAAUAGAUGAUCAGAUUUUGUUGAGCUUUAUAUAUUUUGGAGCUCAACUUUGUUUACCAUGAGAUGAAAGAUUGAUUAAAUCCUAUAUAUAUGCAUUGGAAUUUAAUCGAACUUGAUUAAACUCUGAACUUUAAAUAUAUGUAAUAAAGUCCAAUAGAGUUUGAUUUGAGCUUUCAUCCUAAAUAUAUGUGUUAGGAUUAGCCCCAAAUA
rnacentral:lncRNA from 1 species